AUGGGACUCUACGAGUCGGGCUCACGUUUAGAGAGAAAAGAACAGUUCUGUAAACUCUUUAUUGGUGGCUUAACCUUUUAAACCACAGAAGAAAGUUUGAGGAACUACUACGAGCAAUGGGGCAAACUUACAGAUUGUGUGGUAAUGAGGGAUCCUGCAAGCAAAAGAUCAAGAAGAUUUGGUUUUGUAACUUUCUCAUCCAUGACUGAGGUUGAUGCUGCCAUGGCUGCAAGACCUCAUUCAAUUAAUGGGAGAGUGGUAGAGCCAAACGUGCUGUAGCAAGAAAGGAGUCUGGAAAACCAAGGGCUCAUGUAACUGUGAAGAAACUGCUUGUUGGUGGAAUUAAAGAAGAUACUGAGGAGCAUUACCUUAGAGAUUACUUUGAGGAGUAUAGAAAAAUUGAUACCAUUGAGAUAAUUACCCAUAGGCAGUAUGGAAAGAAAAGAGGCUUUGGCUUUGUUACUUCUGAUGACCAUGAUCCUGUGGAUAAAAUUGUAUUGCAGAAAUACCACACCAUCAACGGUCAUAAUGCAGAAGUAAGAAAGGCUUUGUCUAGACAAGAAAUGCAGGAAGUUCAGAGUUCUAGGAGUGGAAGAGGAGAUGGAUAUGGAAGUGGACUUGGAUUUGCGAAUGGCUAUAAUGGGCAUGGAGGAGGACCUGGAGGAAAUUAUUGAAGUGGAAAUUACAAAGAUUUUGUAAAUUAUAACCAGCAACCUUCUAACUAUGGUCUAAUGAAGAGUGGAAACUUUGGUGGUAGCAGGAACAUGGGUGGACCAUAUGCUGGAGGAAACUAUGGUCCAGGAGGAAGUGGGGGUUAUGGUGGGAGGAGCCCACAUUGAGCUUCUUCCAAUUUGCCAUGGGCUUCACUGUAUAAAUAGGAGAGGAUGAGAGCCCAGAGGUAACAGAACAGCUUCAGGUUAUGGAAAUAACAAUGUUAAGGAAACUCUUAUCUCAGUCAUGCAUAAAUAUGCAGGGAUGUGGCAGAAGACACCAGAGCAGAUGCAGAGAGCCAUUUUGUGAAUGGAUUGGAUUAUUUAAUAACAUUACCUUACUGUGGA